GAAAAUGUCAAAUUAAAGACAACAAACAAAAGAAAGACCACACCCCUCAACAAUCCCAUGGCUACCAUGUUCUCACCCUCAACCUUCUCCUCCACCACCACCACAGCCACCAACACCACCAUCACAUCUCCAAAACCACCCCCAACUCCACUACCCCCAAGAUCCCACCUCCCCAUCCCACCCUCCAAACCACUCCUAAGUACCUUAACCACCACACUAACUGCCACCGCCGCUGCGGCUGCCAUCCUAACCGCCUCUCCACCCUCAUUAGCAGGCCCCACAGCAACAACUUACCAAAUCUACUACGGCACUGCUGCCAGCGCGGCCAACUAUGGCGGUUACGGUGGCAACUCCGACAAGAAAGCCUCCGCUGAGUAUGUCUAUGAUGUGCCAGA
rnacentral:lncRNA from 1 species